rnacentral:rRNA from 1 species
AGGAUUAACGCUGGCGGCGUGCAUGAAACAUGCAAGUCGAGCGCGGUGUGAUGCGGGGUAACCCAAUUCACAUCUAGCGGCGAACGGGUGAGUAACACGUGAGCAACCUACCUUUGAGUUGGGGAUAGCCCUGGGAAACCAGGAUUAAUACCCGAUGUGGUCACAACAGGACAUCCUGAUGUGAGUAAAGGCGUAAGCCGCUCAAUGACGGGCUCGCGGCCUAUUAGCUUGUUGGUGGGGUAACGGCCUACCAAGGCGAUGAUGGGUAGCUGGUCUGAGAGGACGAUCAGCCACACUGGGACUGAGACACGGCCCAGACUCCUACGGGAGGCAGCAGUUAGGAAUUUUCCGCAAUGGGCGAAAGCCUGACGGAGCAACGCCGCGUGAGUGAUGAAGACCUUCGGGUUGUAAAGCUCUGUCGGAGGGAAGAACACAAUGACGGUACCUCCAACGAAAGCCCCGGCUAACUACGUGCCAGCAGCCGC